GGAGAGAUGGCCGAGUUGGCUGAAGGCGCUCGCCUGGAAAGCGAGUAGGCGGUACUGAAAUCGUCUCGAGGGUUCGAAUCCCUCUCUCUCCGCCA
rnacentral:tRNA from 1 species